GCACCACAACAGGUGGAGCCUGCGGUUUAAUCGGACUCAACGCCGGGAAACUCACCAGAUAAGACAGCUGAAUGAUAGUCGGGCUGAAGACUCUACUUGACUAGCUGAGAGGAGGUGCAUGGCCGUCGUCAGUUCGUACUGUGAAGCAUCCUGUUAAGUCAGGCAACGAGCGAGACCCACGCCAACAGUUGCCAGCUCGUCCUCCGGGAUGGUGGGGACACUGUUGGGACCGCCUCUGCUAAAGAGGAGGAAGGAAUGGGGCAACGGUAGGUCAGCAUGCCCCGAAUUAUCUGGGCUACACGCGGGCUACAAUGGGUGGGACAAUGGGUAUCGACACCGAAAGGUGAAGGCAAUCUCCUAAACCCAUCCGUAGUUCGGAUUGUGGGCUGCAACUCGCCCACAUGAAGCUGGAAUCUGUAGUAAUCGUGUCUCAAAAUGGCACGGUGAAUAUGUCCCUGCUCCUU
rnacentral:rRNA from 1 species